rnacentral:tRNA from 1 species
GGGGGUGUGGCUCAGUGGUAGAGUGCUUGCCUUGCAUGUUUAAGAUCCUGGGUUCAAUCCUCAGCACCGCAU